AUUGAACGCUGGCGGCAUGCCUUACACAUGCAAGUCGAACGGCAGCACGGGUGCUUGCACCUGGUGGCGAGUGGCGAACGGGUGAGUAAUACAUCGGAACAUGUCCUGUAGUGGGGGAUAGCCCGGCGAAAGCCGGAUUAAUACCGCAUACGAUCUACGGAUGAAAGCGGGGGACCUUCGGGCCUCGCGCUAUAGGGUUGGCCGAUGUCGGAUUAGCUAGUUGGUGGGGUAAAGGCCUACCAAGGCGACGAUCAGUAGCUGGUCUGAGAGGACGACCAGCCACACUGGGACUGAGACACGGCCCAGACUCCUACGGGAGGCAGCAGUGGGGAAUUUUGGACAAUGGGCGAAAGCCUGAUCCAGCAAUGCCGCGUGUGUGAAGAAGGCCUUCGGGUUGUAAAGCACUUUUGUCCGGAAAGAAAUCCUUGGCUCUAAUACAGUCGGGGGAUGACGGUACCGGAAGAAUAAGCACCGGCUAACUACGUG
rnacentral:rRNA from 1 species